GGCUUAGGUUCCGGCGACAUGGUGAGUGUCUGCGUUACUGCUUUGGAAGUCGCUAUCCGUCCGCAUCUGCCGUUCUCUGUGGUUUUCCGCGCUCACCCGUCUGGGGCAGCCUCUGCUGUCCCCUGUGCCGUCGGCUGUCGGGGUCCUCGCCGCGUCUGGCGCCCCGGAGGCCGCGACUGGAGCCCCGGAGGCGGCUCGGCGGGACUCGGCCCAGCUCGGCAGUGAAUGCGCGCUGCGGAGCCCCUGCUCACCCCGUGCACGCUGCUUUUGCGGGCUAAACGCACAAAGAAGGUCGGGAUCGUAGGGGAAAUACGGGACCCGCUAUGGUGCCUCCCUCCGGAAAUGGUGAAAGAAAAUUGAAAUCAGCCAGCACGCCAAGUACACGUGCUCUUUCUGUGGCAAGGUAGGUUGGCCUCGGGAGGGGUGUAUUGCUUGUCACCCAAGGUGGUUUGUAAGCGGUGGGCCGGUAUAAGAUAGGGGGUUUGGGGUUAGUUUUUGCGAAGCAUUCCUCGUUUAUGUGGAUAUGCCGAAGGAUUAAUUGGUUCUAGAGAGGGAAAAGGCACAACCUGAACGACUCAGUGAGAAAUGACUGUUAGCAUCUGUACUGUGCCAUCUAUCUAGUCUGCAUCUAAUUGUCCUACUUGGAUUCUUAGGAUUUGUCUGCUUAGCAGACAAGUGGCUUUUGUUUGUUUGUUUACGUAGUUUAGGCUCUGAAAACUUUAGAGAUUUAUGUUUUUACGUAUUCAUAUCGCGACCUUUUAAAUAUUUCCAGACCAAGAUGAAGAGACGAGACGUUGGCAUCUGGCACUGUGGUUCCUGCAUGAAAACAGUGGCUGGCGGGGCCUGGAACCUACAAGUGAGUGGUUUCUUUGUGCUGUGGGAAAGUGUGUGGACCACACAGCCCAUGCUCCAAGUCGUGGCACAUACUGGACUAGUUUAAUAUUUAUGAAUGGAGAAGUAAAUAUGAUUUAGGGCCACUUUUGGUUAAAAUUGGAAAGCUCUUAGAAGUGAGAGUUGGGAUUUGAUUCAUGUAUUGCUUUGAAUUGUACAGUCUCUGUGGGUCUGUUACUGAUAUCCUUGUUUGCUCAACCUUGGCUGACAAAUUAUUUCUUUUUUUUCUGUCUUAUGUUUUUUAUUGCUCUGAAGAGACACUAUGACUAUGACCAAGACAACUUUUACAAAUGAGAACAAUUCAUUGAAGGGGCUUGCUUAUAGUUCAGAGGUUCAGUCCAUUAUCAGGGCAGUGAGCAUGCUGGCAUGCAGGCAAAGAUGGUGCUGGAGGACUGUCUGAGUCUCACAUCUCACAGAACUGACAAGUUAUUUCUAUAAAAUAGUUUUGGAAUGAGAUUAGUUAGUUUGGGAUUGCAUAGGAAAAUUUGAGGCUAUUUGGGCUGGCACACCUUUAUCAACAAGCUUUGAACACACUUAGUGGUGUGGCCCUGACAGGGCAGGAUGGUGCUGCUGAGGGAGGUGAAGCCUUCUGGCAUUUGCUUGUCCUAGUCUUGCUGUGCUGGCCCCGAGGUCCCUAGAGUCUGGGUAGUGUGAUGUGUGGCUGGUGCUGAGGAGCAUGGCAAAAGAAGCAAGAGUAGAGUAAAAUAGAAUCUGUGCUCCAGCUGCUUGACUUGAGGGUGUGCGUCUUGAAACUUGUGGUCUGCCUUUGCUAUACUAUCUUCAAAGGAAAGUACCUUAAGAUAUUUGUAAGAAGUCAGGUGUAGAAGGACGUUAGGAUUCUUCAAGUGCCUGAAGUCGUGGUUUUUAAGGUUUGCCAUCAUGCCAGUGUGACUUCUGAGCACUAGUCCUUAGGUCUUGGGAGUCACUACAACGUGGUAUAAUUCUUUCCAGGAGAAAGUCAGACUUGUGUUUCACGUGUUAGCCUGCUUAAUUGAGUUGGAACCUUUUCUUUACAGCACGACUUCUGCCGUCACAGUGAAGUCCGCCAUCAGAAGACUGAAGGAACUGAAGGACCAGUAGAAGUGCUAGCAUUUGAUACCCAAGCCUACUCGAUAAUGCACAGCCAACUAAAUAAAUGGGUUAAUUUACAUGACA